ACAGAGGUGGCGAGUGUUGUUCGGAUUUACUGGGCGUAAAGGGUCCGCAGGCGGCUCUGUGUGUCAGAUGUGAAAGCCCACGGCUCAACCGUGGAAUGGCAUUUGAAACUACAGAGCUAGAGUACAGGAGAGGAGAGGGGAAUUCAUGGUGUAGCGGUGAAAUGCGUAGAUAUCAUGAAGAACACCGGUGGCGAAAGCGCCUCUCUGGACUGAUACUGACGCUCAUGGACGAAAGCCAGGGGAGCAAAGAGGAUUAGAUACCCUCGUAGUCCUGGCCAUAAACGGUGCGCACUUGAUGUGGGAGGUUUACCCCCUUCCGUGUCGAAGCUAACGCGAUAAGUGCGCCGCCUGGGAAGUACGGCCGCAAGGUUA
rnacentral:rRNA from 1 species